AGUUUGAUCAUGGCUCAGAUUGAACGCUGGCGGCAGGCCUAACACAUGCAAGUCGAACGGUAACAGGAAGCAGCUUGCUGCUUUGCUGACGAGUGGCGGACGGGUGAGUAAUGUCUGGGAAACUGCCCGAUGGAGGGGGAUAACUACUGGAAACGGUAGCUAAUACCGCAUAACGUCGCAAGACCAAAGAGGGGGACCUUAGGGCCUCUUGCCAUCGGAUGUGCCCAGAUGGGAUUAGCUAGUAGGUGGGGUAAUGGCUCACCUAGGCGACGAUCCCUAGCUGGUCUGAGAGGAUGACCAGCCACACUGGAACUGAGACACGGUCCAGACUCCUACGGGAGGCAGCAGUGGGGAAUAUUGCACAAUGGGCGCAAGCCUGAUG
rnacentral:rRNA from 1 species